GUGUGGAGGUCAGAGGUUUCACUGAGACUUUUGCUGUUCUGUCUGUCUGCUUACACGAAGACUAUAUAUUUCAGCAUGAACCAGUCCAAACUGUCCACUGGAAAGCGCCUUACAAAGCCGAUUCUCUUUGGGACACUGCUUGUUGGUCUGGCCACAGCAUUUCUGAACAGGCAUAUUUUCAUGGAGGACCUGACAGAUCUCAGAGAGCAGGAACGAUCCCGCAAUGAGGCAAAACGGCUGGAGGUGCUGGAAAGAAGGAAAAAACAAAUGGAUGAACUUGUAGAGAAGAAGAGUGCAGGGGAUAGAUGAGAUGACUGAAUGGAAACUCACAUGAAAACAACACUGAAGAAAACAAAACAUGGGACAUUUUUUGCCAAUAAGGAUUUGUGGAGUGUUAUAAAACUUUUUCCUUGAGUGUCUGAUAUUGCUGUAAUGGGACAGAAGUUGCAUGGAAAGUCCAUAAGUGAUGGAGUAAGCAAUGAUUUGAAUUGAUUGCUUGGAUCAUAUUUAGCUGUAACAGCUGGAUUUGCAAGAUGAUUAGAAUGGUAAAUAUGAAUGGGCCAAACAAAUGUAGGCUAUGUAUGUGCCUCAUUCCUGCCACUGACAAAAAGCUAAUUUUGUAUUUAUGUAUAUAUAAAAAAAAAUCAUUUUAUGGUUAAUCCAAACAAUUUAUUAAUAUUACAAAUGCUAUUCACCAGUUAAAAGGCAAAAAAUAAAUAAAUCUGAGUUUUUCUAAUAUUUUAUGUACCAUUAAAACGAUUUAUUAAUACAUUUAUGAAAUUAUGAGUAAAAAAAUUGUUACACUGUGCAGUUAACAAUAAAGCAUUAUUCUAAAUUCCUUA